rnacentral:ncRNA from 1 species
GAAACCUCAUCUUCGGUCGUUUGCCAUCCGGGCGUCGAUCAGUGUUUUUUAAGCACGAGCGUCCGCUCGGAUGAGGAGAAAGC